rnacentral:rRNA from 1 species
UGGGGAAUAUUGGACAAUGGGGGCAACCCUGAUCCAGCCAUGCCGCGUGAGUGAUGAAGGCCUUAGGGUUGUAAAGCUCUUUCGCCGGUGAAGAUAAUGACGGUAACCGGUAAAGAAGCCCCGGCUAACUUCGUGCCAGCAGCCGCGGUAAUACGAAGGGGGCUAGCGUUGUUCGGAAUUACUGGGCGUAAAGCGCGCGUAGGCGGACUAUUAAGUCAGGGGUGAAAUCCCGGGGCUCAACCUCGGAAUUGCCUUUGAUACUGGUAGUCUAGAGUCCGUGAGAGGUGAGUGGAACUCCGAGUGUAGAGGUGAAAUUCGUAGAUAUUCGGAAGAACACCAGUGGCGAAGGCGCUCUACUGGACCGUAACUGACACUCAGGGACGAAAGCUAGGGGAGCGAAAGGGAUUAGAUACCCCCGUAGUCC